CAGAUUAAAUAUUGAGUGGCGUUUUUUCCCUGUAUCGGUAAACAUCCUUCUAAUAAUGAGAUGACCCAACAAUGUCUUAAAGAAGAAACACAAUUCCCUUCUAGUACGUCUGCUGAGGACUAUUUUUGGGCCAUUAACUGCAAAGUAUAAUGCUGGCGAUAAGCAAUGUCCACAUGGGGAUCCUGCUGCUUUUCUGGGGGUGGAUUAUGUCUAUUGAAAGCAGAGGCCAGCGGCAGGUGACAUACACACCUGAGAUAUACAAACAGGGCAGGUAAGUCAUAUCACUUAAUGGUGUUAAAUUGUAUCUUAAAAUUAUGUAGCCCUGCUUUUUUUAUUCUGCAUUAUUUCUAUGUUGACUAAAA